rnacentral:rRNA from 1 species
GACGAACGCUGGCGGCGUGCUUAACACAUGCAAGUCGAACGGAAAGGCCCUGCUUUUGUGGGGUGCUCGAGUGGCGAACGGGUGAGUAACACGUGAGUAACCUGCCCUUGACUUUGGGAUAACUUCAGGAAACUGGGGCUAAUACCGGAUAGGAGCUCCUGCUGCAUGGUGGGGGUUGGAAAGUUUCGGCGGUUGGGGAUGGACUCGCGGCUUAUCAGCUUGUUGGUGGGGUAGUGGCUUACCAAGGCUUUGACGGGUAGCCGGCCUGAGAGGGUGACCGGCCACAUUGGGACUGAGAUACGGCCCAGACUCCUACGGGAGGCAGCAGUGGGGAAUAUUGCACAAUGGGCGGAAGCCUGAGGCAGCAACGCCGCGUGCGGGAUGACGGCCUUCGGGUGGUAAACCGCUUUCGCCUGUGACGAAGCGUGAGUGACGGUAAUGGGUAAAGAAGCACCGGCUAACUACGG